GUGAGGGAAGAAGCAGGAAGAACAGAAAGGCACCUGAUGUAGUGUUUGACACAGAGGACACUCUCAAUCUUUCAUAGAUGAAGAAUUUUUAAAAAGCAACUCAUUCGUUGUCUUCCCCAGGGAAUAAAAAGAAGGCUGAACAUGUGGGGUUAGCAGUUGAGAACAUCUGAAUGGGGUUCUGAAAAGGAGGGAUUCCAUAUGGGUGAAAUGUCCAGACUCUUCUCCCGGUAGCCUAGAAGCAAUGGAGAGCAAACAGGGACAGAAAUGUUUAUGGCCUAUAAAACGUCUGUGGUGUUCCCUACACGGGCGAGGCAGUUUCACAUGUUUUGUUACUGCCCUUUGUAGCUGGUCUUGAUUACCUUACUCUGACUACAGAAUGACCAAUCGGCCAACCUUGCCUCCCUCAGUGACGCUUCCCCUCUGCCCGUUGUUAACAACUUGGAAGAACUCCUGAGAGUGGCAAAUGGCUCAUUUUUUUACCCCAACCCCUAAAACAGCCAUUCUAGCGGCACUGAAAGGCCACCUGUAGCCACCAAACUCCAUCCUGAAAACUGGCACAUUCCUAAAUGUGUCCCUCAGGGACACCCUGGAGACUAAAAUCCUUGCUUUUUCUCUAACAGAAGAUCUACAGCCUUCUCUCUGCAGGAAAGGAAUUUCUCAUCUCAUUAGUGGCUAACUGCAGCUCCCUCGCCAAAGGCAUCAUUAGCAGAAGGGAACCUGCUUCCUUGGUGUUAAGAAAAGGCAACCGACAAGCCACAGCCCAAACUAAGAAACUGAAAGAGCAGAGCUUUGACUUCAUACCUCCGGCACCCCUGGUCUUUGAUCCACUGGGCUAAUUCUAAGAUUAAACAGUUUUCCGUGUCCACGCAGGCAAACAACCGCCCGCUCUGUGCCUACAGGGACCUCAACCAUUCACUCACUCACACAGAUGUUACGAGCUCCUGCGUUGGGUCACACAACAAAGAACAAGACCAAAGUGGUCCGGGGCCAAGGGAAAGGCAGGCAGAGUCAGACUUGGUCUCCUAAGGCACAGCUCGGGCGCAAGAUCUGACGCAGGACACCUUAAGAGGAGAAGUUCUCGCUGCCAAGUCUUUUCCCAAACAAAUAUCUUGGCAGUGGACCGAUUUUCUUCAAAAGCCAAUACAAGGGUCCCGGUGUUGAUUUUGUUGGAAUUCAAAGGCCCAGAGAUUUAGAGAUCUGCACAAGACCCAGAACCAAAGGUCACACAAGGAACUGCUCUGAGAUGAAAAUAAAGCCCAAAAUGACCUCC